rnacentral:rRNA from 1 species
ACAAACCGGAGGAAGGUGGGGAUGACGUCAAGUCAUCAUGCCCCUUAUGUCCAGGGCUACACACGUGCUACAUUGGCGCAUACAAAGGGCUGCGAUACCGCGAGGUGGAGCGAAUCCCAAAAAGUGCGUCUCGGUUCGGAUUGGAGGCUGAAACUCGCCUCCAUGAAGGUGGAGUUGCUAGUAAUCGCGGAUCAGCAACGCCGCGGUGAAUACGUUCCCGGGCCUUGUACACACCGCCCGUCACACCACGAAAGCGGGCAACACCCGAAGCCGGUGGCCUAACCCUUACGGGAGGGAGCCGUCGAAGGUGGGGCUCGUGAUUGGGGUGAAGUCGUAACAAGGUAGCCGUAGCGGAAGCUGCGGCUGGAUCACCUCCUAAUCUAGAUGCAUCGCGAGUCAGCC